CAGGAUUUGGUUUCACAGGUGGAUUCACAUGGAAAGCUUGAUCCUGAAGUUGAAGAUCUUCUUCUAGAGAUUGCUGAUGACUUCAUUGAUUCGGUUACUACAUUUGCUUGCAAUUUGGCGAAGCAUCGAAAAUCUUCGACUUUGGAGUCCAAGGAUGUACUGUUACAUCUAG